AUGCAUAUGGUAUGGACAAUCUCGCAAAUACCCUUUGUACCUCUUCCAUGUUUGUGGUAGAGAUUCAAAAUCUUUCUGAGUAAAAUUAGAAAUUUUUCCUCUCAGCUC